rnacentral:lncRNA from 1 species
CGCCGUGACAGGGCCGAGCCGGGAGGGUUUGUCGCGGAGCGCGGCCGGGGGAUCGCCUCAGCUUCCCCCGCAGCCCGGCUCCGCCUGAGGGCAGCUUUCCCGCGCUGGAAGCCCCUCCCGCCUCACCGCGGCGCUCCCCCGCCGCGCCUCAGGCGGCCCCGAGCCCUCCCGCCGCUGUCUGCGCCCGUGGUGCCGUGGCGGUGUUGUGGCAGCUUUGCAGCGGUGUGGUGGCGGUGCCACGGCAGCGUUGUGGCGGUGUGGGAGCGGUGUGGGAGCGGUGCCGCAGGCGCAGGGCGCGCAGCUCCGCGCUUUGUUCGGCACGAGGCCGGUGGGCGCGGGGUCCCACACGCAGGCGGGCGGGCGGGCCGCAGCCGGGCCGGGAGCCCUCAGCGCUGCUCUCCGGGGACUCUCGCAGCCCCUCGGCCAUCUGCGGUCAGCGCGGACAUCUGGCAGGCAGCUGCAGGAGGUGAAGGCGGUGGGUGGGUCGGAUCGGGGCCGGCGGGUCGGAGUGCGCGCAUCUCGGCGACGUGAGUGACUCAGACGAGCAGGGUUCAAAAGCGGCAGCUGGACGGGGUACGGCGGGAGCCGUUGUGAAGCGCGGAGACGUUCGGUGGGGCCGCGCACGGCCGUCCCUCGGUUACACGUCUGCGGUCAGCCGUACGAAGGACGCCGUCUGCAGCCCGCGGGUUCAGCUGCCCGUCACAAAGCUCCGCUUCCCGCGCAGCGCGGCUCUGCAGGUGCCCUCUGACCUCGGCUGCACAAGGAACGCACGCCUUCCUCCCUGCUUUCUCCUGCGGACAAACGUGCAGUCUUUCUCUUGUUAGAUUUCCAGCGUCUCAGCUCGGAGACGGUUGCUAAAAUAUAACAAAAUACAAACGAUUCCAUAUGUAUAUGGAUUGGGCGGGCUAUAUUUUGGAAUAAGAUCGGCCUUCGAAGUCAGCCUGCCUGUCUGUAGAUGUUUAUCUCAGCCUGAGGUACAACCUGUGCAGAGCAGAAGAUCCCUUCUUACUGUAUGCAGUAAAUGGUGCCCUUCGCUGGGCAAAGUAUUCACUACAAUCUUCCCUGACGAAAAGACCCGUGUAGCUUCCUUAUAUGAGGAGUGUCUAUUUUAAGAAUGUGGAACCGUUCAAACUGAGAAAAGAAGCUGAACUAUAAAUCAGUCUUCACUCAUGACAGCAGUGUCUCUGGCAGGUUGGUUCUAACUGGCACAUCUCCUUACUGCUGUGCUAUUGGUGUGCGUUCUGUCCACAUCCACCGGAAAAUUUGGACAUUUACUGUUCCAAAGAUUUUGCAUUGUUUGUAUUUCAUACCCUGUUUUUCUAUUACUUGUUGUACGGAAAAGAUUUUCUUAAUACACUUUUAAACCACAUUUUUUUUUUUUUUUCUGUAAAAUAACCUUAAUGGUAACACCUGAGAUACAGGAUUUCAAUUUUCACACUCAUUUCAUGUAAAUGUGCUCGGCUUUUUUCUUCCAGAGAGCCUCACAGCUUUGCCUUGGGCUCUCCAUUUCACAGAGCAGCAUUUACUCUGCUCGUGACAUCACAUGUGACAAACUCCUAAACUUGUAAAGGCUAUCUGGGAAGUAAAGUUCUUAUUAAGACAUUUUGAACAAAAAGGUUUGUGCAAGUAUAACUCAGAGCAGAAAUUGGCCUAAAAAAGUUUCACAUUUGAUGAAGCAUUAAGAACCAGAGGUGGAGUUGAGAGUGAUGUUGUGAGUUAGUAAAAAACAUAUUUUAAUAUAAGCUGUAUGAAAUCUGUUAUUUGCAUCCCCAAGAGAAUGAACUGGAACCCAAGAAUGACAGUGCUGAAUGAUUUCCAGUAACUCUCUGAAACGAUUUGAGCAGUAAUAGGAUAACAAUGCUGUCUGUGCAGGUCAAGAAGCAGGUGGCUUCUUGCUCCACCCAGAUACAGGAGAGGAUGGUACACCUCCUGCAGGAGAGGUGGUCCUUAUGAAUUAAAAAGUUUGGAACUUAGAAUGCCUAAAAGCAGACAAAUGGCAGGAGAAGGUUUAAGGGCUCUGUUUUCUGUGACUCGUUAUGACUGGGUAAGAGCUAGCACGUUUAUGAUCACGCCAAAACAAUACGUGUUCCAGUGUGUAACUUGACAUAGCUUUUACGGUCACAAGGAAGUUAAGUUUGAAGAGUUCUUAUUGGGGAUGCUGCCAAGUCGUGCAAUUCUAUGUAGACUGCUGCACGUGAAGGAACAGUAAUGAAUGAGUGAAUUUACUGGCCCACUAAGCUGUACAGAGCAGCAAAACUCGCUCCCUUUUUUGCUCUGCUGAAAAUAAUUAAGAGAAACAAGGUUUACAGUUUCAUAAAAACAACUGGACUUUCUUGCAGAAGAACAUACGAACUGCUACUUCCCUAACUAAUCAUCUUCUCUAAACGAGACAUGGUAUUUCUUGCUCGCCAUUUUGUCCUGUUGUUAAUAAGUGAUUAGUUUACACAGAUGGAUGGGUUUACUGUCCUAGCUAGAAAGUAAAGUAACAAUGACUCGCUAUAUAGAACUCUGCAGUAAUGAAGGAGUAUUACAAGUAACCUCAUGCAGAAAAAUUGACAAUAAGGAAUAAGUUAACAUAAAAAACUUGGCCCUCCAUCUGGAGUAUCAUUUCCUUUGGGUUGGCAGGUUUCCCCAUCUUGUGUUAUGAGAGAUAAAAUAUUUGUCUGACUGCUUCAGAAGUCGCACUGGUUUCUUCUGUCAACUGUGGGAACUCAUCCCAUAUUUAACUGAGUUAUUGGAUUAGUUCGGAGUUUCAAAAAUGAGCAAAAGCUCGUUAAAGGAAUAGGGGCAUGGCCUUCAACUCUGUCUCUGAUAGGGAGGAUAUAUUUUAGGUAGAGUAAGAAUGUAACCUAUAGUCUGGAUUAAUAUCCCUGACUGUUUUGUACUGCUGGAGAAUUCAGAAGAAACCAACAGUGCGUAAUAGCCUUUCUUGCUGUGCUUUCAUUAAGUCUGAGGCAGCCCAAUAAAGAAGCUACAGCAUGAUUUAUUUUAAUCAAUUAAUAUGGAGAAUUCAUUAAAAUAAACUUGGCAAAAUCUUACUUACAUACUUCUUGCAUUCCAAAUCCACAAAAUGUGAAGAUACAAUCUCAUUAUAACCAUCAGAACAAACCUCCUUUACUACAUUUCUUUCAUUUUUUGUCUUUACACUGUGCUGUUCCCGUACUUCUAUCUCCACUGACUUUCCAGUUCAGUGUAUUUUGUGUCUGUUUUCUUUAUAAUGUCACUAGGAUUAGUUAGGUUGCUCUUGCCAUCCCAUACAGCUCAGUAAGAGCACUUGGCAGGCUGAUGAGGGUUGGAGUAAGGAGGACAAUUGAGCCAUUUCUGUCACCUGAAGGCGACUUUCAGAAAUGCUUGCACAUGUGAUUAUCCUUCCAAUUAAAAUCUACAGGAAUAUGGAUCUUGAUCUAUGUGUUUUACGUACACUGAAAGUUCUACCAUCUCUGCCCUCUUAAUCCUAUUUGAUGUUUCCUAUUGCUGAGCUACAUGUGUAUCUGAGCACAAACACGAUCCUCUGUUUAAAUAACAACUGUUUAAAAAGAGGAGUACCGUGGGGCUUUUAAAUGAUUUAGAUAAGGGCAUAGGAACAAAGAAUGCUUCCAGCUCUGUUUUGUAACUUGCCAUCUCUAGGCAUUGUGACAAAACAAAUGCCAAUCACAUGCCAAAUAUUUUCAUCUACAGCAACUGCUGUUUCACAGCUGACAUGGCACUAACUGUACCUGUUCUUGGGACUGGCCAAAACCAAGCAAGAUGAAGAUUUCUCUUCGAUUCCUUCAUUUAUGCUUCAUUUCAUUAUGUUUUUGUUUGUUUGUU